rnacentral:rRNA from 1 species
GACGAACCGAGCGACCGUUGUUCGGAAUCACUGGGCUUAAAGGGCGCGUAGGCGGGCUGCCGCGUCCGGGGUGAAAUCCUCCGGCUCAACCGGGGAACGGCCUCGGAUACGGGCGGCCUCGAGGGGGGUAGGGGCAUCUGGAACUGUGGGUGGAGCGGUGAAAUGCGUUGAUAUCCACAGGAACUCCGGUGGCGAAGGCGAGGUGCUGGACCCCAUCUGACGCUGAGGCGCGAAAGCCAGGGGAGCAAACGGG